rnacentral:rRNA from 1 species
CGCGUAGGCGGACAGUAUAGUCAGGCGUGAAAUUCCUGGGCUCAACCUGGGGGCUGCGCUUGAUACGUGCUGUCUUGAGUAGGGAAGAGGGUCGUGGAAUUCCCAGUGUAGAGGUGAAAUUCGUAGAUAUUGGGAAGAACACCGGUGGCGAAGGCGGCGACCUGGUCCUUGACUGACGCUGAGGCGCGAAAGCGUGGGGAGCAAACGGGAUUAGAUACCCUGGUAGUCCACGCCGUAAACGAUGUGCGCUGGAUGUUGGGCGGCCUAGCCGUUCAGUGUCGUAGCUAACGCGAUAAGCGCACCGCCUGGGGAGUACGGCCGCAAGGUUGAA